CCCUUAGAUGUUCUGGGCCGCACGCGCGCUACACUGACGAGUGCAACGAGUUCACAACCUUGACCGGCAGGUCUGGGUAAUCUUUGAACGCUCGUCGUGAUGGGGAUAGCUCUUUGCAAUUUUGGAGCUUCAACGAGGAAUGCCUAGUAAACGCAAGUCAUCAACUUGCAUUGAUUACGUCCCUGCCCUUUGUACACACCGCCCGUCGCACCUACCGAUUGAAUGGUCCGGUGAAGACUUCGGACUGCAGCGCUGCGCCCUUUCGGGGGUGCGGCGACCUUGUGGAAAGUUGUCUAAACCUUACCAUUUAGAGGAAGGUGAAGUCGUANCA
rnacentral:rRNA from 1 species